AUGGAAAGGAAAAGGUUUGUGCAGAUGCUUUUGCUGGAUGGGUGCUUCAUACUUGUGAGUAUUGAUGAAAAUGUUGGCACCGGGGUAUCACAUUCCAGAAUUUUGAACCAGGGACCUAACCAAACAGAAGUCAAUGGAAACGUGACGGUAGAAGAGCUGGAACAGAUUAAUGUGGAAAUUAUUCAGGAAACAGGAAGAAAUACCAGAGAGGAGGAUGCAAACCAGCGGACAAGCAUUGGGAACAGUUACGGUGCUGGGGAUUGGUUGAGUGGUCCUGCAUGGCACGACAUGCUCUGUUUGCUGGAGAACCAGAUACCCUUUUUCGUUAUGGAGAGUAUUUACGAAUUAGUAUCAGGUAAAUCAGUUGACCCUGACAAAAACCUAGAGCUGAUGGAGUGCUUGGAAUCAGGUAAGCUUUGGAAGCGUUGGCGUCGAGCAGAAGAGUACCAUGAAGUGGGGGUUCAGUUCAUACGUAGGGAGUAUGACGGACAAAGUAGGCAUUCUCUGUUGGACAUAAGGUUCAUCAACGGAGUUAUGGAGAUUCCUUGUUUGCCAGUUGGUGAGUCCAGUGAGUCUCUUUUCAAGAACCUUUUAGCACUAGAGCAAACAGACCCCAGGUAUGGCAAUGACAUCAGUGCUUAUGUCACUUUCAUGUCUCAGGUCGUCGCUACGCCUACUGAUGCCACACUAUUUGUUCAGAGAGGCAUCAUCGUGCAUAUGAUGGAUAGCGAUGAAGAGAAUGACAGGAAGAUUAAGGGCAUCAAAGUUUGCCUUGUCCUCCUUGAGGAGGAGAGCCGCAAGGGUGCGCCUAGCCUCGCCGAUGAAGAACACAGGUGCUCCUCUUCGUCCUCAACCUGCUCUGCUCCUUCAAGAUCGCAGCGUUGGAUCGCGAAUGCUGUCGUGGACCACCGCCUGAGAAUACUGGCACUUGAGCGGAUAUCUCAUUCAGCAUUCUGCAGCAGCCCUCCAACUUCUCCACAAACAGACCGCCCCAAUCAGGACCUCUCCGUCGGUGCCGAUGCCGCCCGGGCUUUAGGGAGGCGACUAGGGAGUAGAUGGGGAGGCGACUAG
rnacentral:rRNA from 1 species